AAGACGAAAGAGUGUUGGCUUGGUGCCGAAGGAGUGUCAAGGAAUAUCCAGGCGACACAUUUUUGUGCCUUGCAAUGAGAUGUUCAAUAUCAACCCGAUGAGAAGCAGCAAAUGUGGAAAUGGACGCAAGUCAAGGACAGCUGCAGACAGCAAAAUAAUGAAACUGAUACAACGAUUGCGCUGAAUCACCGAAGAUAUGAACCAGAGUGCGAACAGUAAACUUGUACAGUGUGGCAGAAUAAACCCCACCUUUAUGCAUUCAGAGCAGCUGGAUGUUCAGUGUUUACUUGGCAAGAAGUA